AGGGUGUAAACGCUGCAGACUUGGUGUUGGGAACCCUUCGGGGGUGCUCAGUGCCGGAGAGAAGUUGUUAAGUCUGCUACUUGGGGAGUACGUCCGCAAGGAUGAAACUUAAAGGAAUUGGCGGGGGAGCACCGCAACGGGAGGAGCGUGCGGUUUAAUUGGACUCAGCGCCGGGCAACUCACCGGGAACGACAGCAAUAUGUAGGCCAGGCUGAAGACCUUGCCUGAAUCGCUGAGAGGUGGUGCAUGGCGUAGACGUCU
rnacentral:rRNA from 1 species